rnacentral:rRNA from 1 species
CCUUGGCGGCGUUGGCUUUAACACAUGCAAGUUGAACCGAAGAAUGCCGGAGUGCUUGCACUUUGGCAGACUGAGUGGCGGACGGGUGAGUAACGCGUGGGUAACCUGCCUUAUACAGGGGGAUAACAGUUGGAAACGACUGCUAAUACCGCAUAAGCGCACGGUAUCGCAUGAUACAGUGUGAAAAACUCCGGUGGUAUAAGAUGGACCCGCGUCUGAUUAGCUGGUUGGUGAGGUAACGGCCCACCAAGGCGACGAUCAGUAGCCGACCUGAGAGGGUGACCGGCCACAUUGGGACUGAGACACGGCCCAAACUCCUACGGGAGGCAGCAGUGGGGAAUAUUGCACAAUGGGGGAAACCCUGAUGCAGCGACGCCGCGUGAGCGAAGAAGUAUUUCGGUAUGUAAAGCUCUAUCAGCAGGGAAGAAAAAAUGACGGUACCUGACUAAGAAGCCCGGCUAACUACGUG